AUGCAUUCUAUCCUCAUUAGCGAGGUGAUGGCUGGGACUCCUCUAAACGUCUCCAAGGCGGAUCCUGGAAUGGAAAGGCCCAGAUGGGGAAAUUGAGACUAAGAAGAAACUGCAGAAGAUCAUACAGCUGGCCUGGACUCAAACCUUGAUUCAUCCAGUUCCCAAACCCUGAGCCACCACACCAGGACACCUUGAGGAAAAUCGAAAACAAAUAUUCCUGCUGUCCUCAAUCAGUCAGAUGACCAAGACUCUGCAGGACCUAGGAUCCACGGGCUCUCUCUCUGUUCUCUGAUGUCUUGCUUCCAGUGUCGCCAAGGAAGAGUCUGAUGCUGACUUAGUCAGAUUUUCUCUUAAUCUUGGGAGUUUGUGAAUUUCACCAGGAUAUACCUUGGUGUGUGUUUUUUUUCUACAUCCAUCCAGCAUGGAGCUUGGGGAUUCUUUCAAGCUACAGAUUUGGCUCUUUCCCCAGCAGAAGAAAAAUUUCUUGUAUCACUUAACGUAUUUUCAGCCUCUCCUCCUGAAAUGGUGAUCAUUUGUACCUCUUCAUUAUUUGGCCCUGAGGUACUCCCUGCAAGUCAUUUCCAGGUGUGGUAGGCAGGAAGCAUUGAAUUUCCCCAAAGAUGUCCACGUCCCAAUCCUUGGAAGCCGUGAAUAUGUUAGCUUACAUGGCAAAAUGGACUUUGUAGAUAUGGUUAUGGAUCUGGCAAUUAGGUAAGUAUCCCGGAUUAUCCCAGUGGACCCCAUAUAAUCACAGGGGAUCCUUAGAAGAUGGGAGAGAGGCAAGAGGAUCAGAGAAUCUGGAGUCAGAGACUGCAUUGAU